UACGUAGGGGGCAAGCGUUGUCCGGAAUCAUUGGGCGUAAAGCGCGUGUAGGCGGCUCGAUAAGUCCGCUCUGAAAGUCCAGGGCUCAACCCUGGGAUGCGGGUGGAUACUGUCGGGCUCGAGUCCGGAAGAGGCGAGUGGAAUUCCUGGUGUAGCGGUGAAAUGCGCAGAUAUCAGGAGGAACACCGGCGGUGUAGACGGCUUUCUGGACCGUAGCUGACGCUGAGACACGAAAGCGUGGGUAGCAAACAGG
rnacentral:rRNA from 1 species